AUGGGCACCAGAUUCUGUUUGCUCGGCUGGCUCAUUUUACUUAGCUGCUGAAGAAGGAGAGUCGCAUUCAGCCAGGGAUCACUGAGCAUUCAAAAGUCCAUCUGAGACCUGCUUUCAUUGCACUGCCUCGUGAGGAGCUGUAGGAGAAGACAUCAUAACUAUUCCCCACUUCUAAUUGUUAGAAGCAACAGCUAUCUAUCAAGAACAAUCUGAGGAUUGUGCACAAAUUGAUUUGGUUCUAUCAAGUGCUGGCUUUCGAUUCCAGUCUGACUUCACUACCACAGGAGCUUCUUGCUCAGGCUUCUGUUCCGGCUCCAUUCUCUCCCUGCCAUUAUAAUGCCAUCCACUGCAGCACAAUCUCUUCAAUCACUCUACAGAAAUGCAAAUUGCUGCCUUCAGAAGGAAGCACACGGGCCUAUGAAUUUUAUAUCAGCAGGGAUUACCAAUGAGUCAUGCUUGAUGUUGUAAAAACUAUUCAGGAACCAAGAAAAGGGGCAGAAUAAGUGAGAGAAUGAACGAGAAUGAAAAAAAGAAUAGAACCAGUCGGCCAGUGACAUUUUCUAGUGAAACACAUAUGGGAUGCAAGAAAAGGACUCAGAAAAACCUUGGGAGUAAAUAUUGAAAUGAUCUUGAAUGAUUUGGCAGGAGAAGAUGUGCCAGCAGGGCUUACCGUAUAGCUCCGAAGGAUGGUGAUGACGACACCACAGACCGAGAGUUUACAAAGGCUUAAUGAAGCUCAGAUAUUUGAGAAAAAAAAAAAAAGAUUAACAAUAUUCAGCUGAGAAAAGGGAACACAAACACAUCUGGGGAAAGUAAUCUUAAAUAAAGAUACUCAGAUGGAGAAAAACAUGUGUCAAGCCUGGACCUGGAGUAAAAGCAGAUAGAAAAAUUUUGAGUUGCAAGGGAUUACAACAGCUCAGAAAGAAGGUAAUUUGAAGAAGAUGGACCAGAAGACUGAGCUUGAGUCUUAACCUGGCACUGCUGUGUUUCUGCCAUUCGGAGAAGCUGACUGGCCUCUUCAACUCUUGCAUGGGAGCCUUAGUGGUGACUCAGCCCAGACACAGUCCAAAAAAAAUCCCUUUAAUGUGAACCUGCUGCCAGCCACAUGUACCUUGAGGGUGGAACAUCUCAACCACAAGAAUUACCUUCUUUGGGAGUGGGAGAGUUGGAGAUGAGAUGGACUAAAGGAAAACAUUCAUGAUCUCAUUCCACCUGAAGCCAGUGCCUCUGUAAUGUGUAGCAGAAUCCUAUGGAGAAGUUGUAAAAACACAAAAUGUUGGCUCCACCCCAAGAGUUUCUGAUUUUGCAGGUCUGGAGAGGGCCCGUGAUACCUACUUCUAACAAGCUCCCAGGCGAUGCUAAUGUUGCUGGUCUAGAAACACACUUUGAGAGCCACUGUUUUAGCAUGUAUUCACCCAGCUUAUGCAAUCAACUACUAUCACAGCAAAGUUCAAAGAAUGCUCCUUAUUUGUUUGUUAUACUGGAGUUUGGCUUGGCUAAAUAUUAUUUGAAACUGAAUGACUGUUGAUUGUGGCUCAGAAACUGUUUUCUUCAUAGCGCUGCAAUUGGAUUUAUUUAUUAGAAUUUGAGCUGAAUAUUGUUGUACAUUUUGGUUACAUUGGUUUCUCAGGAUAUUUUAUAGGUACAUGUUGUCUCUUUCUAAGUGCACUGUCACUUGAGGUGGGCCUGGGCCUUUUGUUCCUGUUUGUCCUUACUCUUCCACGGAGCUAGCAGUCUCCAGCACAGGGGCAAUCAGUUCUUAAUCACUGAAGACUAAUUAAUCUUUCAGUAUACAUGCUAUUUUAGUGAGUGCUUUUUGCCAGAAAUACUAGUGCUGAUGUAAAAUAAGGGUUAGGAUUAGGGAAGGAUUUGGCCUGAAUAAUUCAAUUUAUAUGUAUAAGUCAGGGUUCUCUAGAGAAAUAGAAUCAAUAGGAUGUGUGUGUGUGUGUGUGUGUGUGGUGGUGGUGGCAGUGCAGGGACAGAGACAGAGAGACAGGGAGGGAGAGUGAGAGAGGGACAGAAAGAGAGAGAGAGAUUUAUGAGAAGGAAUUGGCUCACAAAAUCACGGAGGCUGAGAAGUCCCUAGGAUCUGCAGUCAGCUAGCUGGAGACCAAGGAGAGCUGAUGGUAUUGUUCCAGUCCAAGUCCAAAACCCUGAGAACCAGGAGAGAUGACAGUGCAAGUUUCAGUCCAAAAGAUGCCAAAUUCAAGAUCCAAGAAGAACUGAUGUUUCAGUUUGCGUCUAAAGGCAGGAAAAGACCGAUGUCUCAGCUCAAGUAUCAGGCAGAAGGAGUGCCCUCUUAAAAAGAAUCAGCCUUUUUGUUCUAUUCAGGCCUUCAACUCAUUGGAUGAGGGCCACAUGCAUUAGGGAAGGCAAUCUGCUUUCCGCAGUCUGUGCAUUCGUAUGUUAAUCUCAUCCAAAAACACCCUUACAGACACACCCAGAAUUAUGCUUGACCUAAUAUCUGGGCACUCCACAUCCCAGUCAAGCUGACACAAAAUUAACCAUCGCACUAUAUAUGUAUAAUCAUUAGUUAAAUGGAAAUUGGUUCACUGUCCAAAUUCCUCUACCUUUUGCCUCAAUGAAAAAAAAAAUGGGCCAACACUGUUCUGGGUGGCCCCAUAUAACUUCUAACUGUUUUGGUCAUCAGUUUAGUGGGUGAAUUGUAGCAAUGUGAUCUCGUUUAAUUUUCAGGGGUAAGAUGAAAAUAGCCAUGCUCACCUAAACAGAUCCAUUGACAAAUUCAACUAGCAUCCACAAAAACAAAAACUUUUGUAAACAUGAAGUGCUAUAGAUAUAUUUAAUAAAGACAAUCAUUUCCAU